UACGUAGGGUGCGAGCGUUAAUCGGAAUUACUGGGCGUAAAGCGCACGUAGGCGGAUUGUUAAGUCAGGGGUGAAAUCCUGGAGCUCAACUCCAGAACUGCCUUUGAUACUGGCGAUCUCGAGUCCGGGAGAGGUGAGUGGAACUGCGAGUGUAGAGGUGAAAUUCGUAGAUAUUCGCAAGAACACCAGUGGCGAAGGCGGCUCACUGGCCCGGUACUGACGCUGAGG
rnacentral:rRNA from 1 species